UGAUAAGCCGUGAGAUGGCGGUGCCGCCGAUGGCCAGCCGCAGGAUGAGACCAGGGACAAUAGGUCCCUGGUCGACAAUAACACCGUGCAGACGCUGUCCAGCAAGGACAUCGAGGCGACGAAGCGGGAGGGUGCCAGCGGUGACGCCAUCGUGGAGGCUUUGAUAGCAAAUGGCUCCACAUUUGGAAAUAAGACAGUGUUCUCACAGGAGAAAUACAAGCUGAAGGAACAAAACAAAUAUGCGCCUAAAGUGCUUUUGCGGCGCCCCUCUACCCGAAGGUUUAUGUGAGUUGAUGCACUCUCCCUCUUGUUGUCUAUGGCAAAUGUUGGUGCAUAUUCAGAUGUGCUUGCCGUUCAUAUGGUUGGGGGUUUAGUUGUUGGAGCUGUAUCUGAACACUUAGGAGGGAUUUGCGCGGUGGAGACAGCUAUCCAUUUGUGCGGUCAUUGGAUUAGUAAACAGAGAGGGGGGAGGGAGGGAGCAAUGGACAAGAAGGCAACAAAGAUGAAGAUGCUCUCGUCGGCAGCGGCUUUCGUGGAGGGUGGCGUGCAGGACACCUUCGACGACGCCUGCAACAUCUGCCUUGAGGCCUUCUGCGACAACGAGCCCUCCGGUUAGCUGCAAGCAUGAUUUCUAUCUCCAGUGCAUCCUUGAGUGGAUAUGGUUAGGCGCACAUAUGCUUGUGUUUAUGACGACACCUGCACCAGUCGUUAUAGUAGUUGUUGUUGUCCCCCCCCCCCCUCCAAACUCCCUUCUCUGGUUAUAGAAGGUCAUGACUGACCUGUGAAACACUUGGGCACACCAAAGGUUGGUGAUUCGAAUCAAAGAUUAGUGUAUGCUAUGUUACGUUGUUUCCCUCAUCUGAUUAUUGUUGCUGCCGGGUUAACAUGAAUGCUAAGUUAUAGGCGUCUUGACUAAUUAAUAAAUGAAACCGAAGAGGAUGGGCAGAAAGCAAACUAAUUUUAUGUACGCCCAACAUUGUUUCUUUGGAUGCUUAUAUGAAUGGUUUUAAACUUUUAAUGGAUGAGCUGAUGGCAUAACUUGGUUCUCCUCUUACAGAUAAGCGCAUUCAUGUUCUGAAGCAAUGCCUUCUUGAACGUGUAUAGGAAAUAAGCUCCGAUGCAUUUAUUUUAGUACUUGGAUACUCUUUUGCUUACAUGUCUGCCGGGAAGAUACAAUGUCCUACAAGUUCGAAUACAGAGCUACCACUAUAAAUUCUACUUGGUUGCAUCUGACCUAAUGUUAUUCAUUUCCUUCUGCUCCAGACAAGACAAGCAGCAGCGGCGACGCCGGACCAGUCACCCCCGCACCUCCAGUUUUCCUUCAGGGCUGUGAGCCUUGUGUUGGGAGGAUCCCAGGCCGAAUGAUGCUUGAUCUCCUUUUGGAGGAGCUUGUGUUUACCGCAGCCCGUUAUAGUCGAAGGGGCUAUUUAAGUAACACCAUGAGUUCAUUUACUGGUGUUCGAUCCUCCGAUGAGGCAGCGGCGGAAGACUUGCCUUUUUGAAGCCAUCAGGACCAUCGAAAAUGCCACAAGAACAGUGGUCAAAGAUCUGAAUUAUGGACGCUUAAACAAGAUGGAACAAGACUUUGGUUAUCUAAGGCUCAGGCUCAAUGAAGCAUUUGACACAAUAGACAGGGUUGCCAAAGGAUAUUUGUAUGCUAUAAGAUACAUGCCAGCUUUCUUACAUCAGCUUCAUAAUGUGAUAGCACAUACUUUUCCUCCUACUCGUGUUGUGGACAAGUCAACAAAUGAGGCUCUCAAGAAUAUUGAGGUGGUAGCUCAUAAUCUCAGGACAGAAGCAAUAGUCUUGAGAACAA